rnacentral:rRNA from 1 species
AUGUCUUCCAGCGACUCCGACGAGGGCGCGUGGCCGACCGGCGUUUGGCCGCUGAGCCUCACCGUCGGCGACACGGAGGAUCUGGCCCGGUUCGGCGUGAUGGUGCCGCCGGCAGCCAAAGUGCCGCGGCCGUGGCGAAUCGGGGCGGACGGCAUUCCCACCAUGGGACCGCCGCCGACGAGGCAGCAGCUCCACGCGUUGCCUGGCGGCCGCUACAACCGGAGGGCCCGGCGCAGGUGGUGGCACGGGAAGAACUUCGACAUCGUCCUCGGCGCGUUCAGGGAUGCGGCGGCCGGCCGCACCGUCGGGGACAUUACCGGCGAGGCCGGCACUUCUCGUGGUCGCCGCCGCCAUGGCCCACCUCCAGCCGCCCCCACUGCCCUGGCACAGCAGGCGCCCCCUGACCCGGCGCUGGUCGAGAUCCCGCCGGCGCAGGCCGCCCUCGCGCAAGACGAAGACCCCGACGACACGCCAGGGCUACUUGCGAUGCUGGCCCAGUCGGCAGAGGAGGCGGCGGCGGUGGCCACUCGUGAGGAACGAGAGCGGCUGGCGGCCAUAGCGGCGGUGCAGGAGCAGCAGGCGUGGGAAGACAACUGGUGGGAUUUUAGCGACGAUGACGACGACGACGAUGGCGGCGACGGCGGCGAAGGAGAGGCCGGCAGUAUGGCGCCGGUCGUCGACCUCACCGGCGCCAGCGACGACGAGUAG